AUAGGGUCUAGACCUGGCAUAUCUUCAUACGACCAUGCAAAAAUAUCCGGAUAUUCCCGUAGGAGCUGGAUGAUCUUACUUUUAACCUCUUCCCCUAGAGCAGCACCGAUCUUGAUUUCCCGCUUGUUCUCCUCGGUACCUAUGUUGAUAAGCUCAAUCUCUUCCUGA
rfam:Medicago truncatula strain A17 chromosome 5, whole genome shotgun sequence.